UACGUAGGGUGCAAGCGUUGUCCGGAAUUAUUGGGCGUAAAGAGCUCGUAGGCGGCUUGUCGCGUCGACUGUGAAAUCCCGGGGCUUAACUUCGGGCGUGCAGUCGAUACGGGCUGGCUUGAGUGCGGUAGGGGAGACUGGAAUUCCUGGUGUAGCGGUGAAAUGCGCAGAUAUCAGGAGGAACACCAAUAGCGAAGGCAGCUCGCUGGGACGUUACUGACACUGAGGCGCGAAAGCGUGGGGAGCGAACAGG
rnacentral:rRNA from 1 species